GGGGGCAUGGUCUAAUGGUAUGACUCCUGACGCAAAAAGGCUUCUUGCAGUUAGAACUGUGUGCAUAGUGUAUGACGGUUUCUUGGAUAGCAUGAUUGGACCUGGCAAGCCAGAGAGAUCCGGGUUCAACCCCCGGUGCCCUUA